CAGCCGCCGCGGUAAAACGAAGGGUGCAAGCGUUAAUCGGAAUUACUGGGCGUAAAGCGUGCGUAGGCGGUUUGUUAAGUCUGUUGUGAAAUCCCCGGGCUCAACCUGGGAAUGGCAAUGGAUACUGGCUCGCUAGAGUGUGUCAGAGGAUGGUGGAAUUCCCGGUGUAGCGGUGAAAUGCGUAGAGAUCGGGAGGAACAUCAGUGGCGAAGGCGGCCAUCUGGGACAACACUGACGCUGAGGCACGAAAGCGUGGGGAGCAAACAGGAUUAGAUACCCGCGUAGUCCCUGUCUCUUAUAC
rnacentral:rRNA from 1 species